GAUGAACGCUGGCGGCGUGCCUAAUACAUGCAAGUCGAGCGAACAGACGAGGAGCUUGCUCCUCUGACGUUAGCGGCGGACGGGUGAGUAACACGUGGAUAACCUACCUAUAAGACUGGGAUAACUUCGGGAAACCGGAACUAAUACCGGAUAAUAUAUUGAACUGCAUGGUUCAAUAGUGAAAGACGGUUUUGCUGUCACGUAUAGAUGGAUCCGCGCCGCAUUAGCUAGUUGGUAAGGUAACGGCUUACCAAGGCAACGAUGCGUAGCCGACCUGAGAGGGUGAUCGGCCCCACUGGAACUGAGACACGGUCCAGACUCCUACGGGGGGCAGCAGUAGGGAAUCUUCCGCAAUGGGCGAAAGCCUGACGGAGCAACGCCGCGUGAGUGAUGAAGGUCUUCGGAUCGUAAAACUCUGUUAUUAGGGAAGAACAAAUGUGUAAGUAACUAUGCACGUCUUGACGGUACCUAAUCAGAAAGCCACGGCUAACUACGUG
rnacentral:rRNA from 1 species